GACGAACGCUGGCGGCGUGCCUAAUACAUGCAAGUAGGACGCAGUUGCGAACGGGUGAGUAACGCGUAGGUAACUACCUAUUAGAGGGGGAUAACUAUUGGAAACGAUAGCUAAUACCGCAUACUAGUAGAUGGACCUGCGUUGUAUUAGCUAGUAGGUAGGGUAAUGGUCUACCUAGGCAACGAUACAUAACCGAGUUGGAGAGGUGAACGGGCAAACUGGGACUGGGGCAAGGCCCAAGCUCCUACGGGGGGGAGCAGUAGGGAAACAUCGGAAAUGGGGGGAACCCUGAACGAGCAACGCCGCGUGGGUGAAGGAGGUUUUCGGGUCGUAAAACUCUGUUGUUAAGGAAGCGGUACUUAACCAGAAAGGGACGGCUAACUACGUGCCAGCAGCAGCGGUAAUAC
rnacentral:rRNA from 1 species